rnacentral:rRNA from 1 species
GAUGAACGCUGGCGGCGUGCCUAAUACAUGCAAGUCGAGCGAACGGACGAGAAGCUUGCUUCUCUGAUGUUAGCGGCGGACGGGUGAGUAACACGUGGAUAACCUACCUAUAAGACUGGGAUAACUUCGGGAAACCGGAGCUAAUACCGGAUAAUAUUUUGAACCGCAUGGUUCAAAAGUGAAAGACGGUCUUGCUGUCACUUAUAGAUGGAUCCGCGCUGCAUUAGCUAGUUGGUAAGGUAACGGCUUACCAAGGCAACGAUGCAUAGCCGACCUGAGAGGGUGAUCGGCCACACUGGAACUGGGAUACGGUCCAGACUCCUACGGGAGGCAGCAGUAGGGAAUCUUCCGCAAUGGGCGAAAGCCUGACGUAGCAACGCCGCGUGAGUGAUGAAGGUCUUCGGAUCGUAAAACUCUGUUAUUAGGGAAGAACAUAUGUGUAAGUAACUGUGCACAUCUUGACGGUACCUAAUCAGAAAGCCGCGGCUAACUACGUG